AACGAACGCUGGCGGCGUGCUUAACACAUGCAAGUCGAACGGGAUCCAGAGCUUGCUCUGGUGAGAGUGGCGCACGGGUGAGUAACGCGUGGAUAACCUGCCCUGGUAUCUGGAACAACAUCUCGAAAGGGGUGCUAAUACCGGAUAAGCCCACGGGGUCUUCGGACUCUGCGGGAAAAGGUGGCCUCUGAAUAUGCUACCGUAUCAGGAUGGGUCCGCGUACCAUUAGCUAGUUGGUGGGGUAAUGGCCUACCAAGGCGACGAUGGUUAGCUGGUCUGAGAGGAUGAUCAGCCACACUGGAACUGAGACACGGUCCAGACUCCUACGGGAGGCAGCAGUGGGGAAUUUUGCGCAAUGGGGGAAACCCUGACGCAGCAACGCCGCGUGAGUGAUGAAGGCUUUCGGGUCGUAAAGCUCUGUCAGUAGGGAAGAAGUGUAAGGGUGCUAAUACCAUCUUUACUUGACGGUACCUACAAAGGAAGCACCGGCUAACUCCGUGCCAGCAGCCGCGGUAAUACGGAGGGUGCAAGCGUUGUUCGGAUUUAUUGGGCGUAAAGCGCGUGUAGGCGGUUUCUUAAGUCUGAUGUGAAAGCCCUGGGCUCAACCCAGGAAGUGCAUUGGAUACUGGGAGACUUGAAUACGGGAGAGGGUAGUGGAAUUCCUAGUGUAGGAGUGAAAUCCGUAGAUAUUAGGAGGAACACCGGUGGCGAAGGCGGCUACCUGGACCGAUAUUGACGCUGAGACGCGAAAGCGUGGGGAGCAAACAGGAUUAGAUACCCUGGUAGUCCACGCCGUAAACGAUGAGAACUAGGUGUUGCGGGUAUUGACCCCUGCAGUGCCGCAGCUAACGCAUUAAGUUCUCCGCCUGGGAAGUACGGUCGCAAGACUAA
rnacentral:rRNA from 1 species